UACGUAGGGACCCGAGCGUUGUCCGGAUUUAUUGGGCGUAAAGCGCGCGUAGGCGGCCGUCCACGUCGGAUGUGAAAGCUCGGGGCUCAACCCUGAGAGGCCAUCCGAUACGGGACGGCUUGAGGCAGCUAGGGGAGAGUGGAAUUCCUGGUGUAGCGGUGAAAUGCGCAGAUAUCAGGAGGAACACCGGUGGCGAAGGCGGCUCUCUGGGGCUGAUCUGACGCUGAGACGCGAAAGCGUGGGGAGCGAACAGGAUUAGAAACCCUGGUAGU
rnacentral:rRNA from 1 species